AUUGAACGCUGGCGGCAGGCCUAACACAUGCAAGUCGGACGGUAGCACAGAGAGCUUGCUCUCGGGUGACGAGUGGCGGACGGGUGAGUAAUGUCUGGGGAUCUGCCCGAUAGAGGGGGAUAACCACUGGAAACGGUGGCUAAUACCGCAUAACGUCGCAAGACCAAAGAGGGGGACCUUCGGGCCUCUCACUAUCGGAUGAACCCAGAUGGGAUUAGCUAGUAGGCGGGGUAACGGCCCACCUAGGCGACGAUCCCUAGCUGGUCUGAGAGGAUGACCAGCCACACUGGAACUGAGACACGGUCCAGACUCCUACGGGAGGCAGCAGUGGGGAAUAUUGCACAAUGGGCGCAAGCCUGAUGCAGCCAUGCCGCGUGUAUGAAGAAGGCCUUCGGGUUGUAAAGUACUUUCAGCGGGGAGGAAGGCGAUAAGGUUAAUAACCUUGUCGAUUGACGUUACCCGCAGAAGAAGCACCGGCUAACUCCGUGCCAGCCGCCGCGGUAA
rnacentral:rRNA from 1 species